CCCGGCAUAUCUAAGUUAAGUGCUGAGUUCUUACCUCAGUGAUGCGUGCCAGUCACGUUGCCGUGU
rnacentral:tRNA from 1 species